GUUUCAGUAGCUUAAUAUAAAAGCAUCAGUCUUGUAAACUGAAGAAUAGAGAUUAAUCUCUCUCUUUAACU
rnacentral:tRNA from 1 species